rnacentral:rRNA from 1 species
GACGUAGGGGGCCAGCGUUGUUCGGAAUUACUGGGCGUAAAGGGUUCGUAGGCGGUGCGGUAAGUUGGGUGUGAAAUCUCUGGGCUUAACCCAGAGGCUGCUUCCAAAACUGCUGUGCUUGAGUGUGGGAGAGGCGCGUGGAAUUGCAGGUGUAGCGGUGAAAUGCGUAGAUAUCUGCAGGAACACCCGUGGCGAAAGCGGCGCGCUGGACCACUACUGACGCUGAGGCGCGAAAGCGUGGGGAGCAAACAGG